AAGUCGUAACAAGGUUCCGUAGGUGAACCUGCGGAAGGAUCAUUAACACGUAUCCAACCCCCCUGUGAACAUUCACCUGCUCUCGUGCGAUCCAGCAAUCCCGGUAAAUCAUUGUCGAACAGUAUUGAUUCGGGACUUCUGACAAAUGAGAAGUUACAGUUACGAUUGAGCGGAGAUAGCUGCAUGGCAUCCCGAAGCAGUCAGUGUCUGAAAGUGUCAUUGAUUGUCUAAGGAUCUCGCCUCAACGAUUGCCAGAGGUCGCUCACCGACCGGCAGACAUGCAACCGGGUCCCCACGCCCCUUUACAACCCCAUUACCUCUGUGAGUCGCGGGAAACUAGCGGCUAAAAAACCUCGAACAACUGUUAACAAUGGAUAUCUUGGUUCUC
rnacentral:misc_RNA from 1 species